GAUCAUUACAUAUUGGUCAAAAGAAUAGUUUGAAAAAGGCUAUUUUUUUUUGACUUAAAAAACUUAUCCACAGUGUGGGAAAUGUCUUCUAACGCUUGUGCCUGGUUCAGUCUAGUGCUGCCACUUGAGUUUAUCCUUAGAUCAAGGGAUCUUUGGGUAGUUGUUCAUUAUUUUCUCUCUCUUUUUAGGGGGGGAGAUUAAUGAUGGGCACCUCUUGUAAAGGGGAUAAGAUUACUUUUAUUAUACUAAAUUUUACUGAACUGAUAGACCAUAAAUCUAUGGUUGUUUUUUAUUAUAAUUAAAAAAAAAAAACAACUUUCAGCAAUGGAUCUCUCGGCUUUCGUAUCGAUGAAGAACGCAGCAAAUCGCGAUAUGUAA
rnacentral:misc_RNA from 1 species